AUGGUGAAUUUCAGAGUGAGCAGAUUUGGCCGUACUGGAUGCCUGGUCACCAGGGCUGCUUUCAAUGCUGAUAAAGUGGAUCUUGUUGCUAUCAAUGACCCCUUCAUUGGCCUCAAAUACAUGGUCUACAUGCUCCAGUAUGAUUUUACCCAGGGUAAAUUCAAUGGCACAGUCAAUGCUGAGAAUAGGAAGCUUGUCAUCAAUGGAAAAUCCACCUCCAUCUUCCAGAAGUAAGAUCCCACCAAUAUCAUAUAUUGAUAUUUGAUGCUGGUGCUGAAUAUGUAUGGAGUUCACUGGUGUCUUCAUUAAACAUGAAGAAAGCUGGAGCUCAUCUGAGGAGUGGUGCCACAAAGGUCAUCAUCUCUGUCCCUUUUGCGAUGCCCCCAUGUUUGUGAUGGGUGUGAGCCAUGAGAAGUAUGACAACUCCCCCAAGAUUGUCAGCAAUGCCUCCUAUGCCACCAAAUGCUUAGCUCCCCCGGGCCAAGGCCAUCCAUGAUAACUUUGGCAUUGUGGAAGGACUCAUGACCACAAUCAGUGCCGUCACUGCUACUCAGAAUACUGUGGAUGGUCCCUUUGGGAAACUGUGGCAUGAUGGAUAUGGGACUGCCUAGAAGAAUAUCAUCCCUGCAUCCACUGACUCUGCCAAGGCUGUGGGCAAGGUCAUCCCUGAACCGAAUGGGAAGCUCUCUGGCAUGGCUUUCUAUAUGCCCAAUCCCAACGUGUCAUUUGUGAAUCUGACCAAAUAUGAUGACAUCGAGAAGGUGGUGAAUCAGUCAUAGAGGGCAUCUGGGGCUACAUGGAGGACCAGGUCAUCUCCUAAAACUUUAACAGUGAUACUCACUCUCCCACCUUCGAUGCUGGGACCAGCAUUGCCCUCAACCACCACUUUGUCAAGCUCAUUUCCUGGUAUGAAAAUGAAUUUGGCUACAGCAACAGGGUGGUGGAUCUUAUGGUCCACAUGGCCUCCAAGGAGCAAGAGCCUCUAGAUCACCUGUCCCAGAAAGAACACAGAAGAAGAGAGAAGCCCUCAGCUGCCGAAGAGUCCCUGCCCCUAACUCAGUCCCUCAACACACUGAAAAUCUCCCCUCUUCCCAAUUUCCAUCCCAGACCCCCUGAAGAUGGGGAGGGGCUUAGGGAGCCCUACUGUCACAUACCAUCCAUAAAGUUCACUGCACCCCUCCUCCAAAAAAGACAUUAUAAAAAUGCUAUAAUAUACAGAAAUAGAUCCGAGUAUUUAUGA